UUCUCUCUUUCUCUCUCGUUCUCAUCUCUCGUUCUCUUCUAUCAUGUUUAAAAAUUCGAAUGUUUUGUUGAUUUCAGAGAUUUAAAAUCCCAAAUGGCUAACCAAUUUAUUUCUCUCAUUAGGGUUUUGAGGUUUACGUAUGAAAGUUUUUCUUAUCUCUGUUCUCUAGUCUCCAAAAACUCUUAAGAGCAGCAGCACAAAGAAGAAGAAACGCCCUAAACUUCUCAUUUCCUUAUAAAUAUAAUGAAGUGUAUCGCUUGAUUUCAACCUUAUGUUUUAUUUUUGUUUCUUGGUUUGGUUGAAUCUGAUCUUAUAUGAAAUCCAUAAAUUCUAGGGUUUUGAUUUGAAAAUAAGGUACGCUGGGAUGCCUGUAUAUCUUUCUAGGGUUUGAUUGUAUCUGAUUGUAUAUUUGGAUUAAUUGGGUAGUUAUCUAUGACUCAAUCUUCUUCAUCAUCUUUAAUUUUAGAAAUUUAAAUUUUAACAAUAGGGUUAGGGUAAAUUUUCAAGCUCUUGAUUUUCUUAUUAAAAGUUUCAAUUGAAUUAUUAUUUUUAUUGAUUAGGUUUGCGGUUCACUUGAACUGGUACCUAUUGUGAUUCCUGGUGAUGAUGGUAUAGUGGUGGUGCUGGUGAAGUAGAAGAUGACUCAGUUUGCUAAUAAGAUUGCUCAUCACGUUGCUUGUCUGUUUUGUAAGCUGGGUUAUUCUUAGGUGCCAUUACUGGAGCUUUAAUAAGGAAAGAAACUGAGAAUACUUUAAUCUCUACCAAGUUGUUUGCUGCCAAUUAGAAGGGAUAUUUGAUAUGGACCACUGGCACCAUGGAUAUGUGUUGUGAUUGCUAAGGACUUGGAUGGAUUUACCCUUGUGAUAUUUGGAGUAUUGGUUGUAUGAAUCUUUAAUUGAGCUAUGCUCGGGAGAUACAUUGUGUAAGACGCAUGAGAACUUAAAGAACCUGGCCAUAAUAGAGAGGAAAUUGGGGUCAAUACCAAAUCACAUGUUGAAGAAAGUUGGAUAUCAUGCAGAGAAAUACAUAAGAAAGGGAAGAUUGAAUUGGCCAGAGGGUGCGACAUCCAGGGAAAGCGUUAGAGUUGUUUCAAAGUUACCAUGUUUGCCGGUAUGUGAAGAAUUGUUGUGUUCAGGGAAGAUUCUUUUGAAAGGAGACAAGAUAACAUUGAUGCAGAAUAGGGUAAAUGAUGAUUUUGUCCUAGUGAGGAUAUAUAACAUGAGUAGCAGAGUUGAAUGUUGCAUAUUAUACUGUCUGACAAUGCUAGUGCAACAAUCGAAUUUCCUGCAUUUGGAUAAUUAUCUCUGUAUUCUGGAUUAUCGUUUAAUUCAUGAAGCAACGGGUCGAGCUGAAGAUGACAGAAAAAGGGAAUAGGCUAAUGUCUGGGAAUGGAUCGGAAUAAGAUGAAUAUUACCUUGCAGCCUUCACAGUAUAUCUCAACUAGUGCAGUGGGAGUUUGAAAUUUUUGGCGAUGUGAUGAGUGUGGAUGCAAAUUUGACUUGUGCAUUACCCAGAUCCUUCAACUUCUGAUAAGAGAAUGGAAAUUGGAUUCGGUAACAAGAAGUCAAUACCUGGAACACCACCAAAGAAGAUCAGUUGUGGAAGAGAAGGAUGAGCGUGGAGCUGAAGUCUUUGGUGGACCAAGUUCAGAGCUGAAGUCGGCAUGUAAUUCUGCACUAAUGAAACUCGUAGGGAAGAUUCUUUUGAAAGGAGACAACAUAACAUUGAUGCAGACUGCGUAAGCAAACUGAAUCUCUCCCUCCACCCUCACUCAGUGUAGAUGCAAAUUUGACUUGUGUAUUCCCCAAAUCCUUCAACUUCUGAUAAGAGAAUGAAAAUUGGGUUCGGUAACAAGAAGUCAAUACCUGGAACACCACCAAAGAAGGUAAUCCUUAGCUUGUUUUGUUAAGGUGAUUAAGAAUCGGUGAGUUGGAGCUCUGAGGAUCGGGCGACUGACUCAGUGUAAGUUUUUUCAUAAUUUUCUCUUUAUGUAAUCAAUUUCAGGUGAAAUUUCUUAUUGAUUCAGGUCAAUUCCUUCAUUAAUACUAGUUCUUCAUAUUAGUUGCAA